AGAGAUGAAGCCAACAUAGCUCUGUGUCUCACCCAAGGCCUGCUGUAACCACUCCCUGGUACUGCCUGUGUUCACUCAAGGUCCCGGGGCUCUACAAUCAGCAAGACAGCAUUGAAUUCAGAGCCUCACAAUUGCUGUGUUCUACUUCGCCUAGCAACCAGAGAUGAUCCCUGCAACAUGCUGCUGUUGCUGGGAGUGGGAAAGAGGUGGCAUCGGCGGUUCAAGACUGAGUUUUCUAUCUCUUCAGUGCCUCUUUCAACAAUGAAGAUCAAACCAGGUUUUGUGCAAAUAUCUGCUGAGUGAACUACUUAUUUGAAAAUACAUCAUUGGUUAAUAUUCCCUUUUGCUCAUUGAAAUCUCAAAGACUACAGACCCCGCACAAGACAUUCUGACAUUCCCGUCUUUGAAAUGAAUGACAGCAAUGAUAAAUAUGGCUCACCUCCAGAGAUACAGAUCUCACAACUUCAUAUUUUUAAUAUAAAUUAUUAAUCUGAGACAAACUACAAUAAAGCCAUGCCCUGACUGGAUGUGCCUAACAUUUGUCUGGUGCUUAAAGGAGUUGGCUGCAUGCGUGGGAUGGAGAAGGAUUCAACAUUUAAUGGCAGUUAGAAUCAAAUUUUUAACUCAAGAAGGCAGAAGGAAUCCACCUAAAUAAAUGUUGGAAAGUCACCAAAAAUAGUUCUCCAAGUCAGAAGCGGUGCAAAAGCUGCCUCAGCUCUUGGUGGAUUUUCAAUUUCUCCCAGCCAUCUCUGUUUCGCUAAAGGUUUCUGAAGACAGUGGGUAUGUGGCAAACUUCUGCAAUUCUAUAUUAAGAUAAACUGUUAGAUCA
ensembl:lncRNA LINC01192 long intergenic non-protein coding RNA 1192